UACGAAGGGGGCUAGCGUUGCUCGGAAUCACUGGGCGUAAAGCGCACGUAGGCGGAUUGUUAAGUCAGGGGUGAAAUCCUGGAGCUCAACUCCAGAACUGCCUUUGAUACUGGCGAUCUCGAGUCCGGGAGAGGUGAGUGGAACUGCGAGUGUAGAGGUGAAAUUCGUAGAUAUUCGCAAGAACACCAGUGGCGAAGGCGGCUUUCUGGGACGGUACUGACGCUGAGACGCGAAAGCGUGGGGAGCGAACAGG
rnacentral:rRNA from 1 species